rnacentral:rRNA from 1 species
GAUGAACGCUGGCGGCGUGCCUAAUACAUGCAAGUCGAGCGAACAGACGAGGAGCUUGCUCCUCUGACGUUAGCGGCGGACGGGUGAGUAACACGUGGAUAACCUACCUAUAAGACUGGGAUAACUUCGGGAAACCGGAGCUAAUACCGGAUAAUAUAUUGAACCGCAUGGUUCAAUAGUGAAAGACGGUUUUGCUGUCACUUAUAGAUGGAUCCCCGCCGCAUUAGCUAGUUGGUAAGGUAACGGGUUACCAAGGCAACGAUGCGUAGCCGACCGGAGAGGGUGAUCGGCCACACUGGAACUGAGACACGGUCCAGACUCCUACGGGAGGCAGCAGUAGGGAAUCUUGCGCAAUGGGCGAAAGCCUGACGGAGCAACGCCGCGUGAGUGAUGAAGGUCUUCGGAUCGUAAAACUCUGUUAUUAGGGAAGAACAAAUGUGUAAGUAACUAUGCACGUCUUGACGGUACCUAAUCAGAAAGCCACGGCUAACUACGUG